rnacentral:rRNA from 1 species
CAGGAGUGAACGCUAGCUACAGGCUUACACAUGCAAGUCGGGGGGCAGCAUUGGGAUAGCUUGCUAUUCAGAUGGCGACCGGCGCACGGGUGAGUAACGCGUAUCCAACCUUCCUGCCAGUAGGGAACAGCCCGGCGAAAGUCGGAUUAAUGCCCUAUGUUCUUCAAUGCGGACAUCUAAGUUGAAGGAAAGAUUCAUCGCUGGCAGAUGGGGAUGCGUCCGAUUAGCUUGCCGGCGGGUAACGGCCCACCGGGGCGACGAUCGGUAGGGGUUCUGAGAGGAAGGUCCCCCACACUGGUACUGAGACACGGACCAGACUCCUACGGGAGGCAGCAGUGAGGAAUAUUGGUCAAUGGGCGUAAGCCUGAACCAGCCAAGUAGCGUGCAAGGGAUGACGGCCCUACGGGUUGUAAACUGCUUUUAUGCGGGGAUAAAGUGCGGCACGUGUGCCGCUUUGCAGGUACCGCAUGAAUAAGGACCGGCUAAUUCCGUGCCAGCCGCCGC